rnacentral:rRNA from 1 species
UCGCCCUUCCGACUCCUACGGGAGGCAGCAGUAGGGAAUCUUCGGCAAUGGACGAAAGUCUGACCGAGCAACGCCGCGUGAGUGAAGAAGGUUUUCGGAUCGUAAAACUCUGUUGGUAGAGAAGAACGUUGGUGAGAGUGGAAAGCUCAUCAAGUGACGGUAACUACCCAGAAAGGGACGGCUAACUACGUGCCAGCAGCCGCGGUAAUACGUAGGUCCCGAGCGUUGUCCGGAUUUAUUGGGCGUAAAGCGAGCGCAGGUGGUUUAUUAAGUCUGGUGUAAAAGGCAGUGGCUCAACCAUUGUAUGCAUUGGAAACUGGUAGACUUGAGUGCAGGAGAGGAGAGUGGAAUUCCAUGUGUAGCGGUGAAAUGCGUAGAUAUAUGGAGGAACACCGGUGGCGAAAGCGGCUCUCUGGCCUGUAACUGACACUGAGGCUCGAAAGCGUGGGGAGCAAACAGGAUUAGAUACCCUGGUAGUCCACGCCGUAAACGAUGAGUGCUAGAUGUAGGGAGCUAUAAGUUCUCUGUAUCGCAGCUAACGCAAUAAGCACUCCGCCUGGGGAGUACGACCGCAAGGUUGAAACUCAAGGAAUUGACGGGGGCCCGCACAAG